rnacentral:lncRNA from 1 species
UAAGCUCUAAAUUAAAGAAGACAUUUCUAGUCAGAAACAAGCAAAAAUGGUGAAUGCAGAGUAUCAGAAGCCCCAAGGUACAGAAAUUAUGAGAAGUGUCGAAUGAUUGUAAGAAAAGAGUCGUAUUUGAAAAUGCAAGACUCUUUAGUGGAGGUCAAGCAAGUCAAUAUAGGUAGAAUACUCUGCAAAAUUAUGCGAGUGAGGGGAUGUCAAACAAUGGGUCAGGAAAUGCAUUGUUUUUCUGCAAAAAAAAAAGCUGAUUGUCAUUACAUAAGUCACUUUAGCAUCAUGAGACUGCUGCUUGAUAAAUUCAGAAAUGAACCAAAAGACAAGACAUGCAAAAAUAAAAAAACCAUUUAAUGAUGCCCUCUCCACACUGCGAUAAAUAAAAACAAACACAUCACAUCUAAUGUGGACAUAUCAGACGCCUUGUGAAACACUAGAGGAAAAAUUCAGUUUCGAGCUAUGGCACUUGCCGCAAAGAUGUGGGGGGCCUUGCACUAAUAGUGAUAGUUACCACUGCGUUUAGAAAUUGAAAGCAUUCAUGCAGACAAGGAUGAUUCUUUAUAUUUUUGGCUACCACUUCAAAUGCCUCCACCAAGUGUUACAAUUCUGCACGCAGCCAUAGUAAGGAUCUCGCAGCAACACCUGCAGGUAAAAAGCAGAAGCAGUCAAAGUGCUGGUGUGUUCUGGACACUAUGUUUGAAAACUUUUAGGCAAGAAGAGUGCAAGAAGCAGGCAUAACAACUGCAUUUAUUUCCAUAAUUCCCCAUUUGAAUGGCCUUUUCUUUUUGCUUAGACAAUGCCUACACCUAGCCACAGCAGCUCCCUCAUACAGACUCCGCAAGCCAAGAGGCCGUGGAGGCAAAUGCAGGCAGCCAGCACACCUCGAACAGCCACCUUGACUGCGGGUAUGUCAGUAGAUUCCUGUUGUACAUAUGCUCAUAAUAAACUUCAGUAAACUUGAACUUGAUAAUAAACUUGAAGGCAAAUGGGACGUUGA